AAACAACUGUCAAUUACACUUACACCAAACAUGGCGGAUACAGGUUACAGUAAUACAAUAUUUAAGGAGGAAGCACAAGGUGCCAGGGUGCAGGUCUCAAAAAAUUUCCAAGAAGACUGGAUACAGCAAGUUUCUGGCUGCAAAAAUAUGUUGAAUUUCUUUCCCCAUCUUCUAUCCAUCUGGCUCUGGACCUGAUAUAUGCUCCUCCAAUUUAGUUGCAGUUUCAAAAUUUGUUGCCUGUCACUGUCCGAUGGGUUAGGCCUACCACAGUAAUCAUUCAGCUGUUUUAUAAUGCCCAGCUCAUUUUUUUCAAGAUCUUUCUUAAAUUUUUUACUGAAUGAGAUCGAAAAUUUGCGAAUUUUGUACUUGAGGUAUUCCCAUUUUUUGACUCGAGAAUCAAGUUCCUCAGAUGUCUCAAUUUCUAAAACCAGUGAUUUAAUAUUUUGGCAGUAAUCAUUAUUUUUAGUAAGGCUGCAGUUAAAUUUCCAGUAUUUAUUUGUGUAUUUUUUCCUAUACUGGGUUUGAUAUAUAAAAAUAUGACACAGUGGUCUGUUAAUGGAACAGGAGAAAUAUUACAUUUAACUUCAUGGGACAAUAGUUGAGAUGAAAUUAACCAAUGGUCAAUUCUUGAUUUUAAAUUAUAGUUAGCGCUGAACCAUGUGAACUGUAUUGUACCUGGGUUAAGGUGUUUCCAUGUGUAGUUUAGGUCUUGCUCAUUGCAGAAAUUGUUAAACAUUACAUUGGGGUGACUUAAAGCAUAAUUAGAAGGAAAUCUAUCCAUACAGUCAUCUCGUACUAGGUUCAAGUCCCUCCCAAGUAUGAUAUUAUUAGAUGAGUGUGUUAAACUGAGUUGGUCUAAAUGUGAUGAGAUUUGUUCUAAUAAUCUUUUAUUUUCUUUAGUAUUAUUAUAGCCAUAUAUGUUGACCAGGAUGAACUUCAGAUUAUCAAUAUUUAUUAUGAUAAUCAACCGGUGGCCGUGUUUGUCUGCCAAAUGGGACACAAGUUGGCCUUGGAAGUUUCUAGGUAGUAUAGCGACGCCUGCUGAUCUAGAUUUGCUACGGCUAAAGAAAGCCUUGUCACCCCACUGCUGAGACCAGAAUAAAUU